AGACCCGAAACCCGGUGAUCUAGCCAUGGGCAGGUUGAAGGUUGGGUAACACUAACUGGAGGACCGAACCGACUAAUGUUGAAAAAUUAGCGGAUGACCUGUGGCUGGGGGUGAAAGGCCAAUCAAACCGGGAGAUAGCUGGUUCUCCCCGAAAGCUAUUUAGGUAGCGCCUCGUGAAUUCAUCUCCGGGGGUAGAGCACUGUUUCGGCUAGGGGGCCAUCCCGGCUUACCAACCCGAUGCAAACUGCGAAUACCGGAGAAUGUUAUCACGGGAGACACACGGCGGGUGCUAACGUCCGUCGUGAAGAGGGAAACAACCCAGACCGCCAGCUAAGGUCCCAAAGUCAUGGUUAAGUGGGAAACGAUGUGGGAAGGCCCAGACAGCCAGGAUGUUGGCUUAGAAGCAGCCAUCAUUUAAAGAAAGCGUAAUAGCUCACUGGUCGAGUCGGCCUGCGCGGAAGAUGUAACGGGGCUAAACCAUGCACCGAAGCUGCGGCAGCGAACGUAUCACUUAAAGCGAUUCAGCGGGUUACGAUUGACGGAGCGAAGCGACGUCAAAGCGUAUACAAAGUCGAGUCGGUUUAAGGAUACGUUCGUUGGGUAGGGGAGCGUUCUGUAAGCCUGUGAAGGUGGCCUGUGAGGGUUGCUGGAGGUAUCAGAAGUGCGAAUGCUGACAUAAGUAACGAUAAAGCGGGUGAAAAGCCCGCUCGCCGGAAGACCAAGGGUUCCUGUCCAACGUUAAUCGGGGCAGGGUGAGUCGACCCCUAAGGCGAGGCCGAAAGGCGUAGUCGAUGGGAAACAGGUUAAUAUUCCUGUACUUGGUGUUACUGCGAAGGGGGGACGGAGAAGGCUAUGUUGGCCGGGCGACGGUUGUCCCGGUUUAAGCGUGUAGGUGUGUGUUCCAGGUAAAUCCGGUUCACUUUAACACUGAGGCGUGAUGACGAGGCACUACGGUGCUGAAGCAACAAAUGCCCUGCUUCCAGGAAAAGCCUCUAAGCAUCAGGUAACAUCAAAUCGUACCCCAAACCGACACAGGUGGUCAGGUAGAGAAUACCAAGGCGCUUGAGAGAACUCGGGUGAAGGAACUAGGCAAAAUGGUGCCGUAACUUCGGGAGAAGGCACGCUGACACGUAGGUGAAGUGAUUUACUCAUGGAGCUGAAGUCAGUCGAAGAUACCAGCUGGCUGCAACUGUUUAUUAAAAACACAGCACUGUGCAAACACGAAAGUGGACGUAUACGGUGUGACGCCUGCCCGGUGCCGGAAGGUUAAUUGAUGGGGUCAGCGCAAGCGAAGCUCCUGAUCGAAGCCCCGGUAAACGGCGGCCGUAACUAUAACGGUCCUAAGGUAGCGAAAUUCCUUGUCGGGUAAGUUCCGACCUGCACGAAUGGCGUAAUGAUGGCCAGGCUGUCUCCACCCGAGACUCAGUGAAAUUGAACUCGCUGUGAAGAUGCAGUGUACCCGCGGCAAGACGGAAAGACCCCGUGAACCUUUACUAUAGCUUGACACUGAACAUUGAGCCUUGAUGUGUAGGAUAGGUG
rnacentral:rRNA from 1 species